GUCAGAAUGGCCGAGCGGUCUAAGGCGCUAGACUCAAGGUUGUGCCCCUUCUCCAAAACAGAGAGAUUUCUGGUCUCCGAAUGGAGGCGUGGGUUCAAAUCCCACUUCUGACA
rnacentral:tRNA from 1 species